CGAACUUACUUUCGUAUAUACUUAUUUCGGAUUGAAAUACUUUCCGCGGUGUCACCUCACGGCCAUAAGAACCGAUAAGCAUAAAACCUUAUGGACAACAAAGAGAAGUAGAUACUGUCCCCUUCAGCAUAAUCGUCCAGCUCAAAACUAACUGCAAAUUCCAUUUGGGAAUAAAUAUUAUAUUAAGUUUACUGUGACUUGUGAAAUCUCUAUUCAAAACCAAGCCCAUUAAAAACUCGACUUUUUCCCGCAUCGGUGACAGUUUCUCUCGCUCAUUUCUAAUAAAAUCUAACUUAAUAAACUGAAAUAAC